AGAGUUUGAUCCUGGCUCAGAACGAACGCUGGCGGCGUGGAUAAGACAUGCAAGUCGGGCGGGAAUCAGUGGGUAGCAAUAUUCGCUGGUUCUAGCGGCGCAAGGGUGCGUAACACGUGGGUAAUCUGCCUCGAAUACUGGGAUAACUCCGAGGAAUCGGAGCUAAUACCGGAUGUGGCGUCUGGAUGGCAUCGUCUGGACUUUAAAGCCGGGGACCGCAAGGCCUGGCGAUUCGAGAUGAACCCGCGGCCUAUCAGCUAGUUGGCGGGGUAACGGCCCACCAAGGCGAAGACGGGUAGCUGGUCUGAGAGGACGACCAGCCACACUGGAACUGAGGCACGGUCCAGACACCUACGGGUGGCAGCAGUCGAGAAUUUUUCACAAUGGGCGAAAGCCUGAUGGAGCGACGCCGCGUGGGGGAUGAAUGGCUUCGGCCCGUAAACCCCUGUCAUGAGCGAUCAACCCUUUUCCGCGAAUAGCGGAAGAGGUUGAUGGUAGUUCAAGAGGAAGGGACGGCUAACUCUGUGCCAGCAGCCGCGGUAAUACAGAGGUCCCAAGCGUUGUUCGGAUUUACUGGGCGUAAAGGGUGCGUAGGCGGUCGGGUAAGCCUGACGUGAAAUCCCGUGGCUCAACCAUGGAACGGCGUCGGAAACUAUCCGGCUUGAGGGUGCGAGGGGGGACUGGAAUUCUCGGUGUAGCAGUGAAAUGCGUAGAUAUCGAGAGGAACACCAGUGGCGAAGGCGAGUCCCUGGAGCACUCCUGACGCUGAGGCACGAAAGCUAGGGGAGCAAACAGGAUUAGAUACCCUGGUAGUCCUAGCCCUAAACGGUGCACGUUUGCUGUGAGAGGAAUCGACCCCUCUCGUGGCGGAGCUAACGCGUUAAACGUGCCGCCUGGGAAGUACGGCCGCAGGGUUAAAAC
rnacentral:rRNA from 1 species